GGAACUGACAGGUCACAACUCCAUGUAUUGUGCAAUCUCUGUUUAGUCUAACCCUUGUUUCCUCAAAAACAUCGCAGGGAAUGUAUUCUAUGCAAGAAUGGAUGUGGAAAGAUAAGCCAGCAGGUGCCACUUCUCCCUUAUUUCAAUAUUUAUGGUGUUUAUGGUCUGCUGCCAAUUAGUGGGUUAUGGUGCUAAAUCUCAGCGUUACUAUAAAUUUAACUUGGCCAUUCUGUUUUUUGACCGAUGAACCUUCACAACCUUCAUGAUGGAGCGAGUCAGAUUUACAUUUUUUUUCAAAGGCUUAUCGUUGUUAUAGUUAUGAGAGCUCAGAUGACGAGGGGAGUUUAGAGUAAGGGUGGAUUGUGAAUCACCAUGCCUAUGGAUGUGCUUUAAGAGUAUUUAUUAUUGCUUACGUCUCACUUUCUUCCUACUAUGAUCUCCAGAAAUUCUGGAUCUGACAUUUAUAGUUUCUUGACCUGCAGGGAUUUAAAAAUGCAUGUUAGGUUGAGCUUUGAGGUGGUGCACUGUAAGAGGCUGCAACCUUGAAAUGGCUGAGGAACAGAGCCUCUAAUCUGAUGUUCAGGGACAUGAUUAGAUUGUUUGGAACUCAGAAUGAAGCAGAAAACCAGAAGACAAGAAGAAUCUAUUGCCGGAGACUCUUUCUUUGCUCUCAUGUUUGCUGGGUCAUAUGGAAAGGACAAAUGUAACAAAAUUUAUGUCCACCUUAGUGACUCAGAAUUAUUGAAGAUAUGAGACUCCAAUCUCUCAAGAACCUCCUCCAUCCCCAGCCACACCGUCCCUUCAACUAAAUGGUACCCUAGUUAGCUAGUUUGUACAUUUUUCUGGCCUUUUUUUCCGAACGAAAAAAAAAUUAAAUAAUAUUUUCGUUUCAAAAAUUAGUUAUGUAUAUUUUCAAGUAAACAAGAAUGUAUGUAUUUGUAAAAAUAAUGAGUAAGGCAUAGCAUGGUUGCUAGAUGGUUGGGUAAUUUCCUAGGUUUGAACCCAAUUGCGUGUAUAGAAAAGACCUUAUUGGGAGAGGUAAAAUUCAUUUUAGUGA